rnacentral:rRNA from 1 species
CCUACGGGUGGCAGCAGUGGGGAAUAUUGCACAAUGGGGGAAACUCUGAUGCAGCAAAGCCGCGUGAGUGGAGACGUAUUUCGGUAUGUAAAGCUCUAUCAGCAGGGAAGAAGAUGACGGUACCUGAUUAAGAAGCCCCGGCUAACUACGUGCCAGCAGCCGCGGUAAUACGGAGGGGGCAAGCGUUAUCCGGAUUUACUGGGCUUAAAGGGAGCGCAGACGGCAGUGCAAGUCUGGAGUGAAAGCCCGGGGCCCAACCCCGGAACUGCACUGGAAACUGUGCGGCUAGAGUACUGGAGGGGCAGGCGGAAUUCCUAGUGUAGCGGUGAAAUGCGUAGAUAUUAGGAGGAACACCAGUGGCGAAGGCAGCCUACUAAACAGUAACUGACAUUGAGGCUCGAAAGCGUGGGUAGCAAACAGGAUUAGAUACCCCAGUAGUC